rnacentral:rRNA from 1 species
UUGACGACCUCAGAGUAGGUGAGACUACCCGCUGAACUUAAGCAUAUCAAUAAGCGGAGGAAAUC